rnacentral:rRNA from 1 species
CUGGUGGCGAGUGGCGAACGGGUGAGUAACGCGUAGGAAUAUGCCUUAAAGUGGGGGACAACUUGGGGAAACUCAAGCUAAUACCGCAUAAUAUCUUCGGAUUAAAGCUGGGGACCUUCGGGCCUAGCGCUUUAAGAUUAGCCUGCGUUCGAUUAGCUAGUUGGUGGGGUAAUGGCUCACCAAGGCGACGAUCGAUAGGUGGUCUGAGAGGACGAUCACCCAGACUGGGACUGAGACACGGCCCAGACUCC